UCGUCCUCUGGGCGGCAUAGCCGCUCCAGGAUGGCCUUUGGCCAUCUGGGGAGCAGCUUUGCUGCUCUCCAGGAUGAC
rnacentral:tRNA from 1 species